rnacentral:rRNA from 1 species
UACGUAGGGUGCGAGCGUUAAUCGGAAUUACUGGGCGUAAAACGUGCGCAGGCGGUUUUGUAAGCCAGAUGUGAAAUCCCCGGGCUUAACCUGGGAAUGGCAUUUGGGACUGCAAGGCUUGAGUGCGGCAGAGGAGACUGGAAUUCCUGGUGUAGCAGUGAAAUGCGUAGAUAUCAGGAGGAACACCGAUGGCGAAGGCAGGUCUCUGGGCUGACACUGACGCUCAUGCACGAAAGCGUGGGGAGCAAACAGG